GACAGCCCAGUUGGUUAAGGCGCCUGUUUGUGAACUUGUGGUCGCGGGUUCGAAACCCGGGUCA
rnacentral:tRNA from 1 species